AGUUACUGCUAUCGAGGUUCGACUAAGCCAUGCGAGUCGAAUGUAGCAAUACAUGGCGUACUGCUCAGUAACACGUGGACAACCUACCCUUAGGACGGGGAUAAACCCGGGAAACUGGGUAUAAUACCCGAUAGAUCUGGGCUGCUGGAAUGCAUUCAGAUUUAAAACUCCGGUGCCUAAGGAUGGGUCUGCGGCCUAUCAGGUUGUAGUGGGUGUAGCGUACCUACUAGCCUACGACGGGUACGGGUUGUGAGAGCAAGAGCCCGGAGAUGGAUUCUGAGACACGAAUCCAGGCCCUACGGGGUGCAGCAGGCGCGAAAACUUUACAAUGCCGGCAACGGCGAUAAGGGGACCUCGAGUGCCAGGUUACAAAUCUGGCUGUCGCGAUGCCUAAAAAGCAUUGCAUAGCAAGGGCCGGGCAAGACCGGUGCCAGCCGCCGCGGUAACACCGGCGGCUCGAGUGGUAACCGUUAUUAUUGGGUCUAAAGGGUCUGUAGCCGGCCGAGUAAGUCUCUUGGGAAAUCCAGCAGCUUAACUGUUGGGCUUUCAGGAGAUACUGCCUGGCUCGAGGCCGGGAGAGGUGAGAGGUACUUCAGGGGUAGGGGUGAAAUCUUGUAAUCCUUGAAGGACCACCAGUGGCGAAGGCGUCUCACCAGAACGGACCUGACGGCAAGGGACGAAAGCUAGGGGCACGAACCGGAUUAGAUACCCGGGUAGUCCUAGCCGUAAACGAUACUCGCUAGGUGUCGGCCACGGUGCGACCGUGGUCGGUGCCGUA
rnacentral:rRNA from 1 species